rnacentral:rRNA from 1 species
AACACAUGCAAGUCGAGGGGCAGCACAGGUCGUAUUACCGGGUGGCGACCGGCGCACGGGUGAGUAACGCGUAUGCAACUUACCUAUCAGAGGGGGAUAACCCGGCGAAAGUCGGACUAAUACCGCAUGAAGCAGGGGCCCCGCAUGGGGAUAUUUGCUAAAGAUUCAUCGCUGAUAGAUAGGCAUGCGUUCCAUUAGGCAGUUGGCGGGGUAACGGCCCACCAAACCGACGAUGGAUAGGGGUUCUGAGAGGAAGGUCCCCCACAUUGGUACUGAGACACGGACCAAACUCCUACGGGAGGCAGCAGUGAGGAAUAUUGGUCAAUGGCCGAGAGGCUGAACCAGCCAAGUCGCGUGAGGGAUGAAGGUUCUAUGGAUCGUAAACCUCUUUUAUAAGGGAAUAAAGUGCGGGACGUGUCCCGUUUUGUAUGUACCUUAUGAAUAAGGAUCGGCUAACUCCGUGCCAGCAGCCGCGGUAAUACGGAGGAUCCGAGCGUUAUCCGGAUUUAUUGGGUUUAAAGGGUGCGUAGGCGGCCUUUUAAGUCAGCGGUGAAAGUCUGUGGCUCAACCAUAGAAUUGCCGUUGAAACUGGGGGGCUUGAGUAUGUUUGAGGCAGGCGGAAUGCGUGGUGUAGCGGUGAAAUGCAUAGAUAUCACGCAGAACCCCGAUUGCGAAGGCAGCCUGCCAAGCCAUUACUGACGCUGAUGCACGAAAGCGUGGGGAUCAAACAGGAUUAGAUACCCUGGUAGUCCACGCAGUAAACGAUGAUCACUAGCUGUUUGCGAUACACUGUAAGCGGCACAGCGAAAGCGUUAAGUGAUCCACCUGGGGAGUACGCCGGCAACGGUGAAACUCAAAGGAAUUGACGGGGGCCCGCACAAGCGGAGGAACAUGUGGUUUAAUUCGAUGAUACGCGAGGAACCUUACCCGGGUUUGAACGCAUUCGGACCGAGGUGGAAACACCUUUUCUAGCAAUAGCCGUUUGCGAGGUGCUGCAUGGUUGUCGUCAGCUCGUGCCGUGAGGUGUCGGCUUAAGUGCCAUAACGAGCGCAACCCUUGCCACUAGUUACUAACAGGUAAAGCUGAGGACUCUGGUGGGACUGCCAGCGUAAGCUGCGAGGAAGGUGGGGAUGACGUCAAAUCAGCACGGCCCUUACAUCCGGGGCGACACAUGUGUUACAAUGGCGUGGACAAAGGGAAGCCACCUGGCGACAGGGAGCGAAUCCCCAAACCACGUCUCAGUUCGGAUCGGAGUCUGCAACCCGACUCCGUGAAGCUGGAUUCGCUAGUAAUCGCGCAUCAGCCAUGGCGCGGUGAAUACGUUCCCGGGCCUUGUACACACCGCCCGUCAAGCCAUGGGAGCCGGGGGUACCUGAAGUCCGUAACCGCGAGGAUCGGCCUAGGGUAAAACUGGUGACUGGGGCUAAGUCA